ACAAGCUAAGUAAAAUUUAUUCUAGUAUACAGUAAUUAUGGUCAUGUUUUUUAGAUGUUUGUCCUGAUCUUGCAAAUAUCUCCAACGGUCAAAUACGUUAUUACAGCGGCUUUACACCAAGAGAUUUUGCAAUACUCACCUGCAAAGAUGACUACUCUCUGGAUGGUCCAUCAACCAUUGAAUGCUUAUUUAGCAAUAAUAGCAAUACUCCGACGUGGAAUAGUGAUCCACCCAAAUGUGUUAGAAACGGUGCUUUUUGUGAAUUUCCUGUUACACCAGAAAACGGAGAGAUAGUCAUUGAACGAUUUCUUAAAACUGAAAGAGGAGUUAAAGUGCCUCGAGCAAUUCGCUAUGAAUGUAAGAGAGGCUUUGUCGCUUCUGCUAGUGGUGGUUUCAGAAUGUGUAGAGCGACUGGGAGUUGGUCCGGUAAUCCGAUCAUCUGCAAACCUGUUCGUUGUGGCGCUCCACAACUAUUAGACGGCGGCUACCAAAUGCAGAACGACACUUAUGGGGAAAUAGCGACAUUUUACUGCAAUAAAGGUUAUAAGUUAAUCGGUGAUGUUA